CCGUGCACGCGCCACCACCAGGAGCCUCAUCUCCGCGUUCUAGCCGGAGGAGGUUCUGGUCCUUUACGCGGUCCGGAGCGGGGCGUCCAGGGGAAGGCUCAGUGUGGACGAGACGUGAGGGGAAGAUGGAGACCAGUGUGGCUGGGAGGCGUGGACGCGGACGGCAUGGAGAUAGCGCCUAGCACUCAGCGCCGGUGCCAGUCAAUCUAGCCGCAGCCCGACCUCGGGAGGUAGUUGGCAUGGAGGCGGAACGGUGAGAAGGGAGCUGCAAGGGCGGAGACAUCCGCGUCGGCCACGGGUCCGGCGGCGACCGACGGCUAUGCGAGUCGGUGCGCAGGUUUUGAACUGCCAUGAUUAUGAUAUGUACAUAUAUUAGCACCGGUGCGGUAUGCUACUAAUACUAAUGUUCUUCGUGCUGCUGGUAAGGUAUGCAUCUGAUUCUGUUAUUCUCCACACCCCAUGUGUUAAAUGGAUCCAAUUUUCUUUCAUAUAGUUUGUGUCUUGGCAAAAUAGCAGAACGGCCUGCCAUUGAAAUGUAUGAGUGAGUUUAUUUCACGUCAUUUUUUCCUUUGAUUUCUUCGAAGUGUUGCUAGGUUUCUUAGUAUUCUUCUCUACAUACUUUUAUUCCUUAGUAUUGUUGUUUAUUUUUCUCUUUUGCCUUUGCUGAUUUAUUUACUUUUGCAGGUCUAUAUGGGAUCAUUUUACCGGUGUGGGAUCUCUUUAUUUUGCUGAUAGGCGUGCAGUAUUGGGAAUGGGCCAUAUGUUUUAAAGAUUUAUGGGGUGAUUGCUCACAAGAUCGGUUCUUGCCUUCUCCUCUCGAUACCCCUACUCAGAAACAAUCUCAGUCAUAUAUUUAAGAUACACAGAACAAGAUGGAUCGUAGGAUGGACAUUCUGGUACAAAUGAUGGUGAAGAGGACAAGGGUCCUGCUAUAGAUGAUCAAUAGUUGCCUUCAGCUCUAUGCCUGUGCCACAACGGAGGAUGUUGGUCCUUCUGUAUUGGAUGCUGAGCCGUCAUGUCCAUCUCACAAUUUAUGAUGGUACACAAAGGAGCCAGAUGCCACGAUGUACUCUCGAUCAUGAGAAUGCCUAAUGGUUGUAAUCCUCUGGUGCAGAAAUUUCGUAUGGCCCAAUAGUGGUUGUUUUAUCCUCAAACUCCACAAGUGGCCAGCCGUUCAUAUGGUCAUGAGGGGGCAAAUCUAAGUGACUCGAGAAAGGUUUUAAUGAUCUUGUGGUAGAUGAAAUUGGUGUACCAACCAUGGAGCGAAGAAAGGAAGUGCUUGACCAUCUCUAAAAGCAUAGAAGUAAUUUACAGUUUCAAUGGGCAGAGGGAAGUCAAGCGCCCAAGGCAAUGAUAUGCUCUCAUGACUUAUGCUGCUGUUGAAGGGCUUCAAAUGUUAAGAACAGGUGUGAUCCAUAUGUGGGGCCACCUUGAUGGAAUUCUUACAGGCAGGGGAGCAUCGAGUGUAAAAGUCACUUUCCAGGUUUACUGAGUUGCUGGAACAAAAUCAUCAUCUAAUGUCUUCGCCACCAUCAGAGUCACAUGGCCAGGACCGGUCCUAGAGCCAAAAUGACCUGGUGUCCUGUGACACCUGCUGGCUGAACCUAGGUACGCCCCUGAUCAUGACCUGGAACUAAGAAACCUCUUGACUACCACAUUGGGCUAUCUAUGCAUUGUGCGUCAAUGGUGGACUUGGUCUUGU